rnacentral:lncRNA from 1 species
ACUAGCAGUUUUGUCGUAAAUCUGCAGUUUUUAAUACAAUAGGGCAACUGCAGAAGUUUCUCAUUUUCAGCAUCAUAUUCAUAAUGCUCGUCAAGCCAUACUCAUAUCCAAUGUACUUGGGUACAAUGAUGGACUAACAAGUUUACAUGGCAUUCUUUAAGAAACAUUGUCAUGCUUUGAGUCGUAUCACCUUUUGUGCAUCUAGUCAUAUCAUAGUUGCUUCUCGACUACUCGUCUCUUCAUCUACUUGCACCUCUUUUGUUCUCAGUGGCUCUGAAGCAGCUAGGAUGCUGGUUUGAGUUGCUUCCAUGGAGACUCGUGACUGCUACAAAUUGUGGCGACUCAAUGACGGAUUUGACCCUAGAGACGUCAAAGGACCUUUUUCGAAGAACCUUUCCAAGGCGACCAUGGAGUGUAGGCGAUUGUUUCCGGCUGAAAUUUGGGUGCCGUCAACACGUUUUACAAUUUUGGGGUUCCUUUGUGAGGGAAAUAGAGAAUAGGGGAAGGAGGAGAAACGGAACAUGGAAGAGGGGUUUCUGGUGUUGGAUUAGAAAAAUUGAGAGAGAACGGAUAAAAGAAACAAAAAGAGAAAAUGGAGAUUAGAAAAGCAGAAAGGAAGAAGACGAAAAUGAAAUCCUGAGAUACAACUGACUCAACGUUGUGAGAAUAGGCGAGAGAAAUCUUUUAGAUGAAAGAAACAAAACGAACAUAAGUUGAGCACACCUGCACGGCCAACAUCGCCUCCCUCACGGAGGUGGUCAUGUUGUUGCCUCAUAUCAAGAAAUUUUGGUUAUUGAGAGCAAAUAUUCGACGUUGUCUGUGGGAAGAAAGCAGAAGAAAUUAGGGUGAGUAGAAAUGGGAGGGGAUUUAGGGUUUCGAUCAACUUUUGGGAGGAUGAAGUUGAAUGGUUGCUGGGAGCUUUGCAGGAGUUCUACCAGAUAAGAGGAGGAAAGCUUUGGUGCCGACAUAAGGCAAGUAAUGGUCUCAAUCUAUUGGUGCCCAUGGGAGGUAACAUGCAGAGAAAAUUUCUGGCUGUCACAUAGGAGAAAGGGAAAGAGGUGAGACAUAUUUAUUCCAAAAGGUCCAUAGGCUGGAUGAUGCUGGUGUUGUUCGAAAUGGUGAGGUGGACAUUCAAGGCGUUGGGGAAACUAAAACAGGUCAAAAUGAGAAACUGGAAGAAAAUACAUAGCCCGAAGGCAGUUCACGAUAAUACGCCGGUUUUGUUGUGCUGUCGAAGUUGCAAAAUAAAGUUGAAGGGUGAGUCUAGAGGUGAGAAGAGAGAGGAACUUUGCUAGCGUGAUGAAGAAAGGCGCGUGACAGGGAGCUAGGUAGGGAAAAUGAGACCAAUUUCAGUUUGGCCGGGUCAUGUUCAAUAUUUAAAAUUCAACCAUUUCGUCAAUGUGGGGAUAAGGGUCAUUUUGAGGAGUUCGAACGAGCAUCAGUUUGGAGAGUUCAAGGUCAAGAAACAGGUCGGAUUUGUUAAACGUUUUACAUGGAUCAAGAAAGGGAAGUGGGUGGUCGAGCUGGGAAGUUAGAUUAAAAGCUUUAGAUUCGGGUCCACUCAUGCAUGAAGAUUUGUGAGUAGUGACAAAAAGUGAAAAUCCAAGAAGUGCUUCAAGGGAGAUCGGGAGAAUUGCAGUGUGGUUCCGACAACAGGCUUGGAGGUAGAUUCUAACGAUGGAAAGGAUAACAUUGGAGAGGGGGAGUCUAGUGGAUCUUAGGAGAAAGAAUGAUCGAGCAAGGAGCCACCAACAGAAGCUGAAGCUAAUAUGUUAGAGAGCAUUAUGGCCAAGAAAGAAGAAAGGGGAUUAUUUGGCCAAUGGCAAUGGUUCUGGUGGUGUGGCACGAGUUUGAAAAGGUGCUUGGGUAGGACGAAAGGGCUAUGUGUCGAGGGAUGAGGUGACGGUGGAGGAUGAGAUGGGGGGAAGAUAGAGAGUUGAUUGAGGAAGAAAAUUUUAGAUGAGUACUUUAGAACAUUCAACAAACUAGCAGUGUGUUUAGGAUUGGUUUUGACGGAUUAGAGGAACAAGCUAUGAUACUUUUCAAAGAGAUAAAAAAUGAAAGAAGGAGAAGGUGAGAAGGGAACAGAUAAAGCCUAAAGCAAAAACAAACAAGGGGUGGAGGGUUCUAGGGAGUUGAGGAGGUUGCAGUCCUCUAUCAAUUAUGACAGCUUGCGGAGGUGGGAAAAGUAGGGAGAGGGGUUUUAGGGGAAUCAAUGAUCGUUAGAAAAGACAAGUGAUUAGGAGUUAUAUGAAUGGAUGGAAAUAUGAGGUAAUCUGCCUUCAAAAACUAAAAUGGAAUCCGUUUCGAUUAGUAUUGUUCGUGGCCGUUGGAAGACUAAGGAGAUUGGUUGGAAAUAACUACCAGUUAAGGAGGCUUCUGGUGGGAUUCUAGUUUUAUGGAAUGAUAGCUUAAUUGUGAG